rnacentral:rRNA from 1 species
CCGCGGUAAUACGGAGGAUCCGAGCGUUAUCCGGAUUUAUUGGGUUUAAAGGGUGCGUAGGUGGUUUGAUAAGUCAGCGGUGAAAGUUUGCAGCUUAACUGUAAAAAUGCCGUUGAAACUGUCGGACUUGAGUGUAAAUGAGGUAGGCGGAAUGCGUGGUGUAGCGGUGAAAUGCAUAGAUAUCACGCAGAACUCCGAUUGCGAAGGCAGCUUACUAAGCUACAACUGACACUGAAGCACGAAAGCGUGG